UCAUAACGACUCUCGGCAACGGAUAUCUCGGCUCUCGCAUCGAUGAAGAACGUAGCGAAAUGCGAUACUUGGUGUGAAUUGCAGAAUCCCGUGAACCAUCGAGUCUUUGAACGCAAGUUGCGCCCGACGCCUUCGGGCUGAGGGCACGCCUGCCUGGGCGUCAC
rnacentral:rRNA from 1 species